rnacentral:rRNA from 1 species
GUGUCAGCAGCCGCGGUAAGACGAACCGUGCGAACGUUGUUCGGAAUCACUGGGCUUAAAGGGCGCGUAGGCGGUUGAUCAAGUCUGGGGUGAAAUCUUUCGGCUUAACCGGAAAAGUGCCUUGGAUACUGGUCAGCUGGAGGGAGGUAGGGGCAGUUGGAACUUCCAGUGGAGCGGUGAAAUGCGUUGAUAUUGGAAGGAACGCCGGUGGCGAAAGCGAGCUGCUGGACCUCUUCUGACGCUGAUGCGCGAAAGCUAGGGGAGCAAACGGGAUUAGAUACCCCCGUAGUCC